rnacentral:rRNA from 1 species
AUAACCCCGGGAAACUGGGUAUAAUACCCGAUAGUUCUGGGAUGCUGGAAUGCUUCCAGGACGAAAGCUCCGGCGACUGAGGAUGGGUCUGCGGCCUAUCAGGUAGUAGUGGGUGUAAUGUACCUACUAGCCUACGACGGGUACGGGUCGUGAGAGCGAGAGCCCGGAGAUGGAUUCUGAGACACGAAUCCAGGCCCUACGGGGUGCAGCAGGCGCGAAAACUUUACAAUGCUGGCAACAGCGAUAAGGGGACCUCGAGUGCCAGGAUACAAUCUUGGCUGUCGUAAUGCCUAAAAAGCAUUACAUAGCAAGGGCCGGGCAAGACCGGUGCCAGCCGCCGCGGUAACACCGGCGGCUCGAGUGGUAACCGCUAUUAUUGGGUCUAAAGGGUCUGUAGCCGGCCGGAUAAGUCUUUUGGGAAAUCCAGCUGCUCAACAGUUGGGCUUUCAGAAGAUACUGUUCGGCUCGAGGCCGGGAGAGGUGAGAGGUACUUCAGGGGUAGGGGUGAAAUCUUGUAAUCCUUGAAGGACCACCAGUGGCGAAGGCGUCUCACCAGAACGGUCCUGACGGCAAGGGACGAAAGCUAGGGGCACGAACCGGAUUAGAUACCCGGGUAGUCCUAGCCGUAAACGAUACUCGCUAGGUGUCAGCCACGGUGCGACCGUGGUUGGUGCCGUAGGGAAGCCGUGAAGCGAGCCACCUGGGAAGU